UAGUAGAAUAAGCUAAUAAAGCUAGUGGGUUCAUACCCCAAAUAUGAGUUAGACCUCUUCUGCUAG
rnacentral:tRNA from 1 species